rnacentral:rRNA from 1 species
AACGAACGCUGGCGGCAUGCCUAACACAUGCAAGUCGAACGAGAUCUUCGGAUCUAGUGGCGCACGGGUGCGUAACGCGUGGGAAUCUGCCCCUUGCUUCGGAAUAACAGUGAGAAAUUACUGCUAAUACCGGAUGAUGUCUUCGGACCAAAGAUUUAUCGGCAAGGGAUGAGCCCGCGUAGGAUUAGGUAGUUGGUGGGGUAAUGGCCUACCAAGCCGACGAUCCUUAGCUGGUCUGAGAGGAUGAUCAGCCACACUGGGACUGAGACACGGCACAGACACAUACGGGAAGCAAAAGUGGGGAAUAAUGGAAAAUGGGCAAAAGACUGAUCGAGCAAUGCGGCGUAAAGGAUGAAGACGUUAGGGUUGUAAAGAUCUUUUACCAGGGAUGAAAAUGACAGUACCUGGAGAAUAGGCUCCGGCUAACGCCGUG